rnacentral:rRNA from 1 species
CCUACGGGAGACAGCAGUGAGGAAUAUUGGUCAAUGGACGAGAGUCUGAACCAGCCAAGUAGCGUGAAGGAUGACUGCCCUAUGGGUUGUAAACUUCUUUUAUAUGGGAAUAAAAUGUUCCACGUGUGGGAUUUUGUAUGUACCAUAUGAAUAAGGAUCGGCUAACUCCGUGCCAGCAGCCGCGGUAAUACGGAGGAUCCGAGCGUUAUCCGGAUUUAUUGGGUUUAAAGGGAGCGUAGGUGGAUUGUUAAGUCAGUUGUGAAAGUUUGCGGCUCAACCGUAAAAUUGCAGUUGAAACUGGCAGUCUUGAGUUCAGUAGAGGUGGGCGGAAUUCGUGGUGUAGCGGUGAAAUGCUUAGAUAUCACGAAGAACUCCGAUUGCGAAGGCAGUUCACUGGACUGCAACUGACACUGAGGCUCGAAAGUGUGGGUAUCAAACAGGAUUAGAUACCCCUGUAGUC